rnacentral:rRNA from 1 species
UAUGUGAUCGUCUCUCGCAUAUCAAUAAGCGGAGGAAAAGAAACUAACAAGGAUUCCCUUAGUAACGGCGAGUGAAGCGGGAAGAGCUCAAAUUUGAAAUCUUCAAGGUUUUACCUUGACGAAUUGUAGUUUAAAGAAGUGUUUUCUGUUGAAGUUUUGGUAAAAGUUCUUUGGAAUAGGACAUCAUAGAGGGUGAGAAUCCCGUAUUUGACCAUUAUUUUCAGCUGUGUGAUACACUUUCAAAGAGUCGGAUUGUUUGGGAAUGCAGUCCAAAAUGGGUGGUAAAUUUCAUCUAAAGCUAAAUAUUGGCGAGAGACCGAUAGCGAACAAGUACCGUGAGGGAAAGAUGAAAAGAACUUUGAAAAGAGAGUUAAACAGUACGUGAAAUUGUCAAAAGGGAAGCGUUUGACACCAGUGUUGUUUUCUCGAAAAUCAAUUAAAAAGAGUUAGGAUUUUGUUGUGUAUUGACCUUAACAGCUUGCAUUUCAAUUUUCUUGCUUUUUUUAAUGCACUUUUCGUCUAACAAGUCGACAUCAGUUUCUUUUGUUGUAAAAAGGUCAUUGGAAGGUGGCUUUCUUUUCGGAGAAAGUGUUUAUAGCCUUUGACUCCUGCAAUCGGAGAGACUGAGGUCUGCAGCGUAGAUCCUUCGGGGUUAGAUACAUUUGUGCUAAGUUAUAGCUUUUUAUAGACAACUUGUUGACUAUGAUUAGUCUUGUAGCUUACUCGCUUAUGCUAUUUUACCUACGCUUAGGAUGUUGAAGAUGUAGCACAUCAUACACGCAUGACACACUGCAUAUCAAUAAGCGGAGGAAAAGUACCUACGCUUAGGAUGUUGAAGCGCAUGUCUCUCUCU